CCAUGGGCGGGAAGCCGGGCGGCGGGCGGGACGUGGCCUCGGUCCCGGCCCUGCCCCGCCCCGCCGCCACUGAGACUCCCAGCGCCACCAACGUCGGAGUUGCAGUUUCUUUAGCUGUCAUAUGCAGACAAGUACUACCCACCUCGCCUUUGGAGUGAGCAGCAUCCCUGUGCCCAUCCUGCUGUGAUUCAGGAGUCUCGCAGAAGACAUCAGAAUGCCUUUCUCUGAGUCACAGUCUGUAUCUUCUAGAAAAGGCUGUCCAUCUUCACCCCAAGCCCACUGGCUCCUGAGAUACGACAUCCAGACCCAGUGCAGCUGGACCUGGCCCAGGAAGAUCAUGCGGUUUCUGGGAAGCACUGGAGAAGGAAAAGGCUGAAGAAAGGAAGACCGCUACUGAAAACAGAAGACUGGUCCAAGUGAGGUCUCCAGCUCUAAGGGCUCGGAUUCACGGCAGAGAUCCACGGUUCCUGGCUCCUCUCUCUAGCCCUUAGUCCUCUCUAUUACUGCAAGGAUUUGGCUUCAAGGAAAAGAAAUACAAGUCCUUCCGCCUUGGCAAAGAUGAUAGUACCGUUCCCUUCAGUGUUCCGGUUCUGCUCUAUUGGAUAAGUUCCGGUUUGACUAUGACUACGUGAAAAUGUGGAACCAGACCUUCACCCCACAUUCCAGCUCCAGCUCUACCACAGAGGAAGUGCAAUAUCACCUUAGUUAUUCAACACAUUAUGCUCCUCGUGAUACAACCAGAGUUCACAUCAGCAAUCUUGGCAGCUCUCACCACGCUGCUGACUCACGACUCUCUCAUGUCCCAAUUUCCUGUCCAUUGUUCUUUCCUCUACUUGGCCUGAUUUCUAAAGGCCUCUCUUGGUUGCAUUAAGCGGGAUUCCUGAGGGAUUCCCUUGGCAGUUACCUUGGGGGAGCUCUUAGGUUUGGGGCUGAUCCAUGUCCUCUAAAUGUAGGACUUCAAAGCUCCCAAAGAUAGGCAGGCCCAGUGGGAAGCUGGGAAAUGCUCUCUGACCCCUCUGGGAGGGCUGGCAGUCAGAGGGCCUUUUGGAAAGAGUCAGACCUGAUCCAUAAGUCCCUGGAAAACACCCUGCCCAGGGAGCAAAUGCCACUGUGGCCUUGACUGAGGCUUCAGAAGAGUUUGGGAGCUGCAAUUCAUCCACACACGCAUUCAUUUUCAAGUAGUGGUUUGCAGUUCAGGCUUUGGAGCCACAUAAGCCUGGCUUCAAAGCCACUUUCCAGCUUUGUAGGAAGUCUCUACAUUUUUAAACCUCCAUUUUUUUUUCCUGUAAAACUGGGGUCUUCAUGGUACUUAACUUCAUCGUGAUGUUGAGAGAAUGAAAAGAAAAAGGAUAAAUAAAUGGCUUAGCCUCGUGCCUUGGCACA
rnacentral:lncRNA from 1 species